rnacentral:rRNA from 1 species
UACAGAGGUCUCAAGCGUUGUUCGGAUUCAUUGGGCGUAAAGGGUGUGUAGGUGGCGCGCUAAGUCGGGUGUGAAAUUUCGGAGCUUAACUCCGAAACUGCAUUUGAUACUGGCGUGCUUGAGGACUGGAGAGGAGACUGGAAUUCAUGGUGUAGCAGUGAAAUGCGUAGAGAUCAUGAGGAAGACCAGUGGCGAAGGCGGGUCUCUGGACAGUUCCUGACACUGAGACACGAAAGCGUGGGGAGCAAACAGG